UCCCCCACGCGGCCGCAGUUCUGCGCCCGGCGCCCGCUGCCCGCUGCCCGCUGCCGGGCUCUCCGGGACACUUCGGGAUUUCUCGAAAUUCCAGGAGAGGUGGGGGUCCUGGCCGUCCCCAGCGAGGUCAAAAGGGCUUUGAGAGGUGGCAUCCAGCAACGUCUGGCGUCCGUUUCGAGGGUGGAGAAACUGAGGCCGAGCCGCAGCCUUUGGCAGUGGCCGCGCGGCGUGGGCAUGACUGGGUCCCGUGGUCCCCGUCCCCCCACCUCUCAGGGAGCGGACUUGAGUGGCCUCUCCAGCUGUCGCCCCCGGCCUGGGCCCCUGCUUCCCUCACGCCUUGCCUUGCCUCCCCUCUCCACAGAGUCGCCUGGCAGGGUUAAGUGAGAGGGUGCGUGGAGCGCAUCUGGCACCGCGCCUGCACGCCGCCCGCGCUCAGCACGAGGGAGCUGCCGGGGCACUUGUCACCCCCGAGUCCCGUCCCGCAUUGAGUCUCCAGCACGGGUCACCCAGCCUGCUCUCACGGGGGCCACACUGGGAUUACCUGCCCUCCAGGCCUCAGGCAUCAGGGAGAGGAGGUGCCAGAGAAUAUGACAUUUUAGUCAUACUCUGGAAUCCAGAGUUUCAGAUAUAGGCUGCCUAGGUUUGAGCUGUGUGACCUUGGGCAACUGACAUAACUUCUCUGAGCCACAAAUUCUUCCUCUGUCGAGUGGGAAGAGCAAUCAUUCAAUUUUAGGGUCGUUGUGAGGCAGAAAUUUUGGAGACAAUCUGCAAAGGGUGUCUGGCACAUAAUAGUCACUAUCAACUUUUGUAGCAGCCACUGUUUCCAAAGUUGUUUGGCCAAAGGGGCUGACCCUAGAACAGCAUGUGAGAAUGACCAGUGGACGGUGCACAGUGUGGGAGCAGGAGCCUCAGAUCUGGGCCACAGGAGACCCCGGCUGACCUUGGGGCAGUCCCGGAGCUCUGGCUCCCGCUUCCUCUUCUGCCUUGGGGAGCCGCGGCUCUGGAGCCAGCUUCUCUUCUGGAGAAGGCGGUGGAGGGUGGGAUAACAGGACCGGAGCCGGCACAGCGGUACCGUUCCCUUCCCGUCAGCUUCCCUGCUGUAGGAUGUGUCCUUGUGUCCAGGGCCGCUGGGGCCUGGCACGGCAGACACUUUGCCCGCAGUCUGCGUCUCCUGCUCCGGUUGUCACUGUCCCGCAGUCCUGCCUCCCUCCUCAGCACCCAGGGCAGGAGGCGUCUGGUUUGUGAACUGGGCUCAGUCAGUGCCCUUGGCAGGUGGCUGUGUUGCGGGUGAGGGACAUGCUCUGCCCUGGGGUUGCAGUGGAGUCCCUGGGGGUGGCGGCACCCUGCGAGCAGGUGGGAGCUGCGGACGUGGGGCGCGGAGCUCUGCCAGGCUCAGCAGCACCAUGGUGUGCCCGGGGAAGGGACAGGAGCAGCAGUGUGUCCCUGGGGAGGGCUGCUGGUGUCACGGGGCCGGGGCCAGACUGUGUGCCCUGCUGGUCCUCGGGUGGGGUGAGGGGCUCGUCCCCACUUUACGCACUGAGAAACCAAGGCCAUCAGCAGCGACAUGCUUGAGUGGCGGGGAGCAGCCAACGGAAGCCUGCUUUGGGCCCUGCGCCUAUCCCGUGGGCAAAGGCCAUGCAGAGGCAGGGUCACCUAGGUCCUCUCCUCACACCGGGCCAGACUCAGAGGAGAAGCGGGGCCUGCGAAGGAGACCCAGGCCCUGUACCCACUGGUGCCUGGGCAGGGACUGUCUUCCUGAGCCCUCCGGACCUUGGCACAGCAGCUGUAGCACCGCGGCAGCCUCAUGGGUGAAGGCCGGUGCUGGCCAGUGCUCACCUGGAAUUUGUUGAUUCUCUUAUUCCAGGGGACACAUGACCUCUGUGGGGACACAGCAUGUCCUGUGCUUCACCCUCUUUGGGGGAUGAUUGGGGGGCAGAGAACUCUGCAGACUGGAGAGCCUGGGCUUUGCCAGGCGUGGUCUGUGGGACCCACGGGUCAGGGCACACAGUGUAGGCUGGGUGGGGUUCAGGUGCCAGGUUGGCCCUGACCCAGAGAGUGGACAAGGGGGCGUCACAGAUCUCUGCUGCCAGCUGGCCCUGUCCUGCUCUGGCCCUCUACACGUGAACGACCUCCCUUUGCUCUUGGGGGUCACCUGCUCAUUUCCAGCUCUCACUCUUGACAGCCCACCCCAGCUCUACACCUCGGUCUCCUCAUCUGCAAAGCGGGGGUGCUGAUGGCGAGUGGAGUCAUCCAGGGGCCUUGGGGGCCAGAGGCCUGUGUAGGAGGUGUGAUGCUCGUUCUGAUGUGGUCCACGUUUCCCACGUGUCAUCCUGGGCAUCUCCCCAGCCCAGGCCUUGACCCUCUCUGUGCCACCCUGGCCCAUGCGCUUUGUAGGAUUGCAGGGGCCAGCUGGCUUGCAGGAAACAGCCAUACUCGGGGCCUGAGGAGGCCCAGGGGGGCUGGGGUCCAACCAGGCAAAGUGGGGCUCACAGCGCCCAGCUGCCCUGGCAUGUUGGACUCCCUCUGGGCUGUGCUCCUCAGCCACUCGGCCACCACCUCCCCUUGCUGCCCCGGCGUGCAUGGGCUGAGUCCUCUGAGAAUCCACGGGCACAUCUUUCUUUCAGACCCCACACUCUGGCUGCAGCCUGAGCUUCCUCAUAAGCUGCUGGAGUGGGCACAGGGAUCUGUGCCCAGGGUCCCAGAGCUGGCCUGGUUUAGGGAGCUCACUCAGCUGGGGUUCCCUGCCUUUGAGGGCAGGAUGUCCUCUAACUUCUCGCUGCGUCCCUAGGCUUGGAACACUCAGCAGACCUUCACUGAGCACCUACUGUGUGCUGGUGAUAAUGCAGAGGAUGUGCAUGGGCAGUGGCUUCCUCUUGCAGACCUGGUGUCCAUGGGUGCAAGUCAGCAGCCAGGGAGACACCCUGACCCAAGAGCAUUCCAGGUGACAGAGAGCUCUGGAAAAAGUAGAGCGGGGUGAGCCUGGGAGAGGGGUUGCUGGGGCCAGGUGUGGGUGGCGGCCCUCAGAGGUACCUUCUGAGAAAGGCCCCAGUUACAGGAAGGAGC
rnacentral:lncRNA from 1 species